rnacentral:rRNA from 1 species
GAUGAACGCUGGCGGCGUGCCUAAUACAUGCAAGUCGAGCGAACGGACGAGAAGCUUGCUUCUCUGAUGUUAGCGGCGGACGGGUGAGUAACACGUGGAUAACCUACCUAUAAGACUGGGAUAACUUCGGGAACCCGGAGCUAAUACCGGAUAAUAUUUUGAACCGCAUGGUUCAAAAGUGAAAGACGGUCUUGCUGUCACUUAUAGAUGGAUCCGCGCUGCAUUAGCUAGUUGGUAAGGUAACGGCUUACCAAGGCAACGAUGCAUAGCCGACCUGAGAGGGUGAUCGGCCACACUGGAACUGAGACACGGUCCAGACUCCUACGGGAGGCAGCAGUAGGGAAUCUUCCGCAAUGGGCGAAAGCCUGACGGAGCAACGCCGCGUGAGUGAUGAAGGUCUUCGGAUCGUAAAACUCUGUUAUUAGGGAAGAACAUAUGUGUAAGUAACUGUGCACAUCUUGACGGUACCUAAUCAGAAAGCCACGGCUAACUACGU